rnacentral:rRNA from 1 species
ACAUCCAGCGAACUUGGCAGAGAUGCCUUGGUGCCUUCGGGAACGCUGAGACAGGUGCUGCAUGGCUGUCGUCAGCUCGUGUUGUGAAAUGUUGGGUUAAGUCCCCGNAACGAGCGCAACCCUUAUCCUUUGUUGCCAGCGAUUCGGUCGGGAACUCAAAGGAGACUGCCGGUGAUAAACCGGAGGAAGGUGGGGAUGACGUCAAGUCAUCAUGGCCCUUACGAGUAGGGCUACACACGUGCUACAAUGGCGCAUACAAAGAGAAGCGACCUCGCGAGAGCAAGCGGACCUCAUAAAGUGCGUCGUAGUCCGGAUCGGAGUCUGCAACUCGACUCCGUGAAGUCGGAAUCGCUAGUAAUCGUGGAUCAGAAUGCCACGGUGAAUACGUUCCCGGGCCUUGUACACACCGCCCGUCACACCAUGGGAGUGGGUUGCAAAAGAAGUAGGUAGCUUAACCUCCGGGAGGGCGCUUACCACUUUGUGAUUCAUGACUGGGGUGAAGUCGUAACAAGGUAGGCGUAGCGAG